AGCGAACGCUGGCGGCAGGCUUAACACAUGCAAGUCGAGCGGGCGUAGCAAUACGUCAGCGGCAGACGGGUGAGUAACGCGUGGGAACGUACCUUUUGGUUCGGAACAACACAGGGAAACUUGUGCUAAUACCGGAUAAGCCCUUACGGGGAAAGAUUUAUCGCCGAAAGAUCGGCCCGCGUCUGAUUAGCUAGUUGGUGAGGUAACGGCUCACCAAGGCGACGAUCAGUAGCUGGUCUGAGAGGAUGAUCAGCCACAUUGGGACUGAGACACGGCCCAAACUCCUACGGGGGGCAGCGGUGGGGAAUAUUGGACAAUGGGCGCAAGCCUGAUCCAGCCAUGCCGCGUGAGUGAUGAAGGCCCUAGGGUUGUAAAGCUCUUUUGUGCGGGAAGAUAAUGACGGUACCGCAAGAAUAAGCCCCGGCUAACUUCGUGCCAGCCGCCGCGGUAA
rnacentral:rRNA from 1 species